rnacentral:rRNA from 1 species
GACGAACGCUGGCGGCGUGCUUAACACAUGCAAGUCGAACGAUGAAGCUGGAGCUUGCUCCGGUGGAUUAGUGGCGAACGGGUGAGUAACACGUGAGAAAUCUGCCCUUGACUCUGGGAUAACUGCGGGAAACUGUAGCUAAUACCGGAUAUUUUCCUUGGUGGGCAUCCACUGGGGUAGAAAGAAUUUCGGUCAAGGAUGAUCUCGCGGCCUAUCAGCUAGUUGGUGAGGUAAUGGCUCACCAAGGCGACGACGAGUAGCCGGCCUGAGAGGGUGACCGGCCACACUGGGACUGAGACACGGCCCAGACUCCUACGGGAGGCAGCAGUGGGGAAUAUUGCACAAUGGGCGCAAGCCUGAUGCAGCAACGCCGCGUGAGGGAUGAAGGCCUUCGGGUUGUAAACCUCUUUUAGCAGGGAAGAAGCGAAAGUGACGGUACCUGCAGAAAAAGCACCGGCUAACUACGUGCCAGCCGCCGCAGUAA